GCCGUGGUGGUGGAACUGGUAGACACGCUAGCUUGAGGGGCUAGUGCUCGAAAGGGCAUGGGGGUUCGAGUCCCCCCUACGGCACCA
rnacentral:tRNA from 1 species